rnacentral:rRNA from 1 species
UACGGAGGGGCUAGCGUUGUUCGGAAUUUACUAGGGCGUAAACGCACGUAGGCGGCUUUGUAAGAUUAGAGGGUGAAAAGCCCCAGGGGCUUACCCACUCGGAAAUUGCCUUUAAGACUGCAUCGCUAGAAUUGUGGAGAGGUAAGUGGAAUUCCGAGUGUAGAGGUGAAAUUCGUAGAUAUUCGGAAGAACACCAGUGGCGAAGGCGACUUACUGGACACAGUAUUGACGCCGAGGUGCGAAAGCGUGGGGAGCAAACAGG